rnacentral:rRNA from 1 species
GAUGAACGCUGGCGGCGUGCCUAAUACAUGCAAGUCGAGCGAACGGACGAGAAGCUUGCUUCUCUGAUGUUAGCGGCGGACGGGUGAGUAACACGUGGAUAACCUACCUAUAAGACUGGGAUAACUUCGGGAAACCGGAGCUAAUACCGGAUGAUAUUUUGAACCGCAUGGUUCAAAAGUGAAAGACGGUCUUGCUGUCACUUAUAGAUGGAUCCGCGCUGCAUUAGCUAGUUGGUAAGGUAACGGCUUACCAAGGCAACGAUGCAUAGCCGACCGGAGAGGGGGAUCGGCCACCUUGGAGCUGAGACGCGGUCAAGACUCCUAAGGGAGGGAGCAGUAGGGAAACUUCCGCAAUGGGCGAAAGCCUGACGGAACAACGCCGCGUGAGAGAUGAAGGCCUUCGGAUCGGAAAACUCUGUUAUUAGGGAAGAACAUAUGUGUAAGUAACUGUGCACAUCUUGACGGUACCUAAUCAGAAAGCCACGGCUAACUACGUG